rnacentral:lncRNA from 1 species
UCGAUAUAGUUGAUCUUGUAUCUUGUGUACAAAUAUGUACAAAGCAUUUAAGUAAUGUACAUAAAAGUUUAGUGCCUUAAUUCAUAACUCAUAAUAUGGAAAUUCCAUCACUGAUUGUGUGAUAUUUGUGAACAUUUUAACCGAAUAAUAUACUAACAAAACAAGUCAAUCGUAGCUACGUAAGAUCUUCACCAAGGGCACAAAAGCUGCUAAAGUGUGUAGCUGCUAUAGCAAAAGGUUUGCCUGACUGCAAAUUGGAGUUGCAUGCACAUGGGACAAAAUCAAACCAUUAUGCUCUGGAGUAGGUUUUGGCAUCCAUCCAUCUUAGGUGCUCCUCCCUUCCCACUUUUCGUGGUGUGAUGUAUGGUGAUCAUUUCGCACUGAAUAUUCAUUCAAAGUUAGACCAUUUCUAAACCACAAGCAGGUGAUCUCUUACCCUCCUCAUCAGUCAUCAGCCAAUCAAAGAAAACUGCAGAAGAAAGAGGAGGAGCCAAAAAAGCAAUUUUAAUUAAAAUGUUUAUUCAUUUCUUUGACUAGUUGAGCAUAUCACUCAUCUGUUGCCCAAUAUAUACUCCAAGGUAUUUGGGUACUAAAAACUAAAUUAAUCCGUAUAGUUUACUUAAUUUUACAUAAAUAAAUAAAAAUCGAAUUCGACAUAAUCUACCAUUCUUUUUGCACUCAAUCUAACUAAUUGCAAAGAUUAAAUAACAAGAGGAAUUCAUCUUACUAGAAAAUAAUGAGUUCAUCAGCAAACAAACAAUAAUCUCCAUGUGUUAAAGGGAUUUAGUUAAAUUGGUCAAGUAAAAUAUGUAAGUUAUUGUAAAUUUUUUGAUAUUUUAUUGGAUUUUAAUUGAUAAAAAAUAAUCUAAUAUUAGUCUUCCAUGCCAAAACUUCGUCACAUACUAAGUUUACCACGACCAGAAUAAAGUUCCCUAAAGUGAACCCAUCAAUAACCCAAUAAGCAAAGCAAAGCUCAACCUCAUUCUUCACGAAACCAAGCAGAGUGCAAAGUAAAUAAAAAGUUAAUUAAUUUUAGGGGUAUUUUCCAGGAACUUGUUGUGUUCUUGACUGGAAACAACGAUGUUUUUUCCCCUGUAAUAAGCGGUUUACAAAACCUACAACUAUAUCCUGCAAGUGGUUUAUGAAAAGUUGAAAACUACUACUAUUAAUUAGCCAACCUCUUUCCCCUUAUGAGAUCAUUUUCUACUUCCCUCCUUUCUUCUAUGCACGCUGCUAUAACUAGAAACCUAACCUUGUUUUCCGGCGUGGGAUUUGUGCAGAGUUUAUAAUAAGUGAUGAACCGGGACAAGAGUAUAGAUAGAACAAUGAAGCCGCAAAGGCGUGAUCCCAAAAGACCAAGAAGCAAUGUUGGUGGUGGCGGCAGCGGUACGGGGGACCACCAUAGUCCGGUGUUAGGUCUAUGUCGCUUUCUUAUCGUGGUAAUCGUGUCAUUGGACUCGGCGGAUCAAGUUCCAUGCACUUUCAAACAUUGAGAGGAAAAGGCUCAAUUAGGGUUAAAUUUCAUCAAGUCAAUUGGGGGGUUUCUAUUUGGUGAUCUGGGAGGUAAAAAGGGUACAUAUGAUGGUGUAUUGAUCGACCUUGAUCCACUGGUAAAAUAGUAGUAUACCUAGAUCUGAUAAUUUAAGUUUGUAUUUUGUUUACUAUUAUUACCUGUUAAUUUCAGCAGGUUUCAAUGUGAAUUCACUUCAACUAAGUGUUGUUUAAAGUAUUAACAAUGUCUCGAG